GAUGAACGCUAGCGGCAGGCUUAAUACAUGCAAGUCGAGAGGCAGCACAGGUAGCAAUACUGGGUGGCGACCGGCAAACGGGUGCGGAACACGUACACAACUUACCUUAAGGUGGGGGAUAGCCCAGGGAAACUUGGAUUAAUACCCCAUAAUAAAGGGGGCCCGCAUGGGUCUAUUGUUAAAGAUUUAUUGCCUUAAGAUGGGUGUGCGUCUGAUUAGGUAGUUGGUGAGGUAAAGGCUCACCAAGCCAACGAACAGUAACUGGUGUGAGAGACCGACCAGUCACACGGGCACUUGGACACGGGCCCGAAUCCUACGGGAGGCAGCAGUAAGGAAUAUUGGUCAAUGGACGGAAGUCUGAACCAGCCAUGCCGCGUGAAGGAUGAAGGUCCUCUGGAUUGUAAACUUCUUUUAUAGGGGGCGAAAAAGGGCCUUUUGGGGUCAACUGACGGUACCCUAUGAAUAAGCACCGGCUAACUCCGUGCCAGCCGCCGCCGUAACAC
rnacentral:rRNA from 1 species